rnacentral:rRNA from 1 species
UACGUAGGGGGCGAGCGUUGUCCGGAAUGACUGGGCGUAAAGGGAGUGUAGGCGGCAAUAUAAGUUAGAUGUGAAAUCCCGCGGCUCAACCGCGGAACUGCAUCUAAAACUAUAUAGCUGGAGUGCAGGAGAGGUGAGUGGAAUUCCUAGUGUAGCGGUGGAAUGCGUAGAUAUUAGGAGGAACACCAGAGGCGAAGGCGACUCACUGGACUGUAACUGACGCUGAGGCUCGAAAGCGUGGGGAGCAAACAGG